CGAAGGGUGCAAGCGUUACUCGGAAUCACUGGGCGUAAAGCGUGCGUAGGCGGUUUCUUAAGUCUGUCGUGAAAGCCCUGGGCUCAACCUGGGAACGGCGAUGGAUACUGGGAAGCUAGAAUGUGAGAGAGGAUGGUGGAAUUCCCGGUGUAGCGGUGAAAUGCGUAGAGAUCGGGAGGAACACCAGUGGCGAAGGCGGCCAUCUGGCUCAACAUUGACGCUGAGGCACGAAAGCGUGGGGAGCAAACAGGAUUAGAUACCCUGGUAGUCCACGCCCUAAACGAUGCGAACUGGACGUUGGUGGCAACUUGGCCAUCAGUGUCGAAGCUAACGCGUUAAGUUCGCCGCCUGGGGAGUACGGUCGCAAGACUG
rnacentral:rRNA from 1 species